CCUACGGGAGGCAGCAGUGGGGAAUCUUGCACAAUGGGGGAAACCCUGAUGCAGCGACGCCGCGUGAGUGCAGAAGUAUUUCGGUAUGUAAAGCUCUAUCAGCAGGGAAGCAGCAAGACGGUCCCUGACCAAGAAGCCACGGCCAACUACGUGCAAGCAGCCGCGGUAAUACGUAGGGGGCAAGCGGUGUCCGGAUUUACUGGGUGUAAAGGGGGCUUAGACGGUAUGGCAAGUCUGAAGUGAAAGCCCAGGGCUUAACCCUGGGACUGCGUUGGAAACUGUUAGACUAGUGUGCUGGAGAGGUAAGUGGAAUGCCUGGUGUAGCGGUGAAAUGCGUAGAUAUUAGGAGGAACACCAGUGGCGAAGGCGGCUUACUGGACAGUAACUGACGUUGAGGCUCGAAAGCGUGGGGAGCAAACAGGAUUAGAUACCCCAGUAGUC
rnacentral:rRNA from 1 species